rnacentral:lncRNA from 10 species
GGUCAGGGUACAGUAUCUGACUGCAAUCAAUAUGCACUUAAAUGUUUGGAUCAUCUAAACCUCCACUUAGCACAAAGGAUCUCCAGAGAGAACUUUCUUCAGAGCAGAGAAAUUACUAUUCCAGAGCUGAACUCAAGACACAGAAAGGCCAAGUAAUUUGUCCAACUUCAUAUGCUAGACUGGAAGAAGGAGCCCAGCCUCAAGUCAGGUUUGCCUGCGAUGAGCCCUAUUUACAUUCAACUGGGAGGGGACAAAUAGAAGCUGUGCUCAGAGGUAUUUUUGUCAUGGGCAGCUGUGAAUACAUGCAGCUUUUCUUCAAAUGAUUUAUGAAGGGUUUUUUGUUUGCUUUUAAAAUGUGGAAUAAAAGAGCUUCAUUCCCAGAGGCUUCAUUAACUGAGGUACCACCAUCCCCAAAGCUGUCUAUAGAAUCUGCAAUGUGCUGGAAUUAUUCAAACGGGAGUCCAGGCCUGCAAAUAAAGAGGCUCUAGAUCAGGAAGCUCAGCUUUGCCCCCAGCAGGUGGGGGUCCUUGUGCAAGUCCCUUAUUCUUUUGGUGCCUCAUCUGUAGAACUAGAACAAUUGCACCUGUGUUUGUGGAAUAUUUACCAAGUGUCAACAUGUGAGGCGCUUUUCCUGCGUUAUAGCCAUUAAUCGUCACAUCACCACCAUGAAGUAUGCACUCUUAUUUUUCAGUUUUAGAAAUGAAGAAAUGAAUCUUAGAGAGCUUAAAGUGAGUCGUCCAAAGAAGCACAACUAGUAAUUGGAAGAUCGGUUAUGUCAACUAAGGCCUAUCUGACCUCAGAGUCCACUGCCUCAGACACACAAUGUCAUAAUGAAUGCUACUCCAUGGAGGAAAUUAUGUGGAUAAAGAGAAAUGAUCUGGCUAAGCAUGUUUUGAACGGUUAUAAAUUCAUAUUCACAUAUGUUGUGAUAUAUGCACAUACGUAUAUAUAAAUGUAGAUAUACGAGAUAUAUAUGGAUAUAUGGAUAUAUAGAUAGACCCCCAUUUAGCACUGUCCCAUGCAACCCAGAUUAGUUCUAACAUUAUUUAGUUCUAAAUCAAUUUCUUGAUACCAGUGGUUUUUAAAAUGUGCCACUGAGGUCAGCAGUCAGUCUCGGCAUCACUUGGGGACUUGGUAGAUCAGAAAUGCAGAUUCUAGAGCCCCACCCCACACUACUGAAUCAAGAACUCAGGGAGUAAGACUCAGUCUUCUGGUAUUUUGUUGGGGUAGUGGAGGGAAGGGGCGCCGAGCUUCCAUGUCCUCCCUUGGUGCACCACCCUCCAGGAACCUCCACAUGUUUGGCUAUCUAGAAGCUCCAGUCAUCUGUGCUUUAACAAGCCCUCUGGAUGAUUCUGAUGCAUGUUCAAGUUUAAGAGGCACUGAGCACUGUUGAGCUAACAUGGCAGACAGUCCAUUCUCAGCCAGGAACUAUAAAGGCACCAGACUGCAGUGCAGUCAGCCAUUGAGCUCUUCAUUGUCAUAUAAAGAAACCUAUAGCUUCUCUUUUGUUAUUUCAUUUUGUAUUCUGGCAACUGGUUUUGACUCUCAAAGACUAAAAAAAUCGUGCACGUAAUAUGCCGGCUUUACCCCGGGGCAAAGAGGAUGAGUAUUAGGUUGAGUAUUAAAACAAAGCCUUCCCAGAAAAUCAAGGUGUGUUCAAAGAAAUGGUCCAGAAAACAGGGAAUUACAGAUGAGUUGAUACUUUUAUGUUAUGGAGGGCAUGAUAAGCAUUAAUGCCUCCUAGGACAACCGACCAGCAUUUCUAGAAAGAACAGCAGAAAGACAUUGGUUGAAGCCAUGUCAUGGCAUCAGGGGAUUUGAAGAAAACCGAAGAGGUAUUACAGAGAACCCUACCAUAAACAUGAUGCUAGAUGGUGUGUGUGUGUGCACACAUGUGGGCACAUACCCAUAUUACUUACCAUAUCUUUGGCAUAUAACAUGGACUUCAGAAUUAGUCCAAGUUCCUAGUUGGUUUCCGGUUGGGUCUGCCACUUCCUAAUGGUUACCUUGGGUAAACUACUUAAUAUUCCCAAUCUACAGUUUCCUUAUCUGGGGAAUGUGGGUAAUAAUAGUAUAACCCUAGUACAGAAAGUAUUAUUUUGAUAUAGCACUUAGCAUAAACCCUG